CCUACGGGAGGCUGCAGUGGGGAAUAUUGCACAAUGGGGGAAACCCUGAUGCAGCGACGCCGCGUGAGUGAAGAAGUAUUUCGGUAUGUAAAGCUCUAUCAGCAGGGAAGAAAAUGACGGUACCUGACUAAGAAGCACCGGCUAAAUACGUGCCAGCAGCCGCGGUAAUACGUAUGGUGCAAGCGUUAUCCGGAUUUACUGGGUGUAAAGGGAGCGUAGACGGAUAGGCAAGUCUGGAGUGAAAACCCGGGGCUCAACCCCGGGACUGCUUUGGAAACUGUUUAUCUAGAGUGCUGGAGAGGUAAGUGGAAUUCCUAGUGUAGCGGUGAAAUGCGUAGAUAUUAGGAGGAACACCAGUGGCGAAGGCGGCUUACUGGACAGUAACUGACGUUGAGGCUCGAAAGCGUGGGGAGCAAACAGGAUUAGAUACCCGGGUAGUC
rnacentral:rRNA from 1 species